rnacentral:rRNA from 1 species
CGACCGGCGCACGGGUGAGUAACGCGUAUGUAAUCUACCUGUAACAGAGGGAUAACCCGGAGAAAUCCGGACUAAUACCUCAUAGCACAUAUUAUUCGCAUGAAUUUUAUGUUAAAGAGACUCGGUUACAGAUGAACAUGCGUUCCAUUAGCUAGUUGGCGGGGUUACGGCCCACCAAGGCAACGAUGGAUAGGGGUUCUGAGAGGAAGGUCCCCCGCACUGGUACUGAGACACGGACCAG